CAAAAAAAACUGUCUUGAAAGAUAUUGUGAACUGUAAAUCAGCGUUAGAAACCUGACUGAACUCACAAACCGGAGUUGUUUGAGGGAGGAUCUCGGACCAGUAUCAUCAAACAUUGCAGCAGGAGAAUACAGACAAGAGAAGGAAGUCACAUAGUUUUUUUAUCAGUAUUUCAGAAAGCCAAAAAGGUUUUGAGACACGUUGUAUAUGAACAGAUUUGGCAAAGCAGCAACGGAGAAAUAGUGCGGUAACUUUGGAGGAGUCUUCUAAGAUUGAAGUCCUAACACAAGCAGCAAAGAAUGAGAUAACAAAGGACAAUUUUGGAAUUUUACAAUGUGAUGAAUGCUUGUACCUGUUCAGUUAAAAGUAUCACGGUGAGUGUCCCACCGUCCUGUCAGCUCUUAUGGUACCCCUACACUGCAUAACAAAAACAUGAUUAUAUCGCAAAGACAUAUGCAGCGGGGGCAGCACAGUGCUCCAUGAAGGAUGCAAAACUUUCAUUUCUAACUGUAGAAGUCUGUACUGCACUGAAAGCCUUAUUUGCCUGAGCUACUUAACUUAUGUGUUAUCUCUACACUACACACUGCAGCCUUUGACAAUACUUCAACUCUUGUUUUAGGUAUAGCACCCAGCACAAAAACUCCCUGGGGACCUACCCUGGUUUCUGGCCCUUACUUAAGCUAGACUUGCUUGUGUCUUCAUUGCUACUGCUGUCGUUCUGGAGAUAUGUAAAUCAGAACAAACUCUUUCUUAUUUCAAAACUCACACCUUAAUUUUUCUGUAUAGGCAUGUCAUUGGCAAUAAGCAAUAAUAUGUUUGUCAGACAAUAAUAAAUGACUGAUUUCAACCUUGAUCUUGAUAUACUGCUACUGCUGGAAGACAAGACAAAACAUUUGAUCAAUUAGUUUGACCAUCAUCUUGUCAAGGAUGGAUGUUACAGAGAAGCAGUUUUCUACUAAAGAGGUUGCCUAAAAAGAAAAACCACCCUUGUUUCUAGAGUAUUACCUCCAGAAGUUGACUAGUGAUGUAUGAAAUAAAAAAGCUGCACCAUCCUUAAUCAAGGCCUCUUCAUAAUAUGAAGACAUAUAUAAUUGCAUUACUUCAUGCUACUUAUUUUAUACUAUAGCAUUACUUUCAAAUAUAUUUUCUAGGUAACAGUUGCCAGAGAAGCUACUAAUUUUCAUUUAAGCCAAACUUCCA